rnacentral:rRNA from 1 species
AGUGAACGCUGGCGGUAGGCCUAACACAUGCAAGUCGAACGGCAGCACAGUAAGAGCUUGCUCUUACGGGUGGCGAGUGGCGGACGGGUGAGGAAUACAUCGGAAUCUACUUUUUCGUGGGGGAUAACGUAGGGAACCUACGGUAAUUACGCAUACGACCUUCGGGUGAAAGCAGGGGAUCUUUGGAACCUGCGGGAUUGAAUGAGCCGAUGUCGGAUUAGCUAGUUGGCGGGGUAAAGGCCCACCAAGGCGACGAUCCGUAGCUGGUCUGAGAGGAUGAUCAGCCACACUGGAACUGAGACACGGUCCAGACUCCUACGGGAGGCAGCAGUGGGGAAUAUUGGACAAUGGGCGCAAGCCUGAUCCAGCCAUACCGCGUGGGUGAAGAAGGCCUUCGGGUUGUAAAGCCCUUUUGUUGGGAAAGAAAAGCAGCAGGUUAAUACCCCGCUGUUCUGACGGUACCCAAAGAAUAAGCACCGGCUAACUUCGUG